AAAUUCCAUCUUAGCAUUUAAUAUACGUUCUUCCAACACCCCUUUCAAAUUUGUUGCCGCUUCAAUGUCAGAAAGUAGCUUAUAAGCAAUUGAUUUGCCAUUAUCUUUUGUCUCCUUUGUUUUUUCUCCCAAUGAUGCUGAGGUAUCCUUUACAGGCAAUUCUUGUGAAGCUGCCUCCCGAGCCUUGUCUCCUCGAGUUUGCCUCUUAGAAGAAUUUCCUUCU
rnacentral:lncRNA from 1 species